CCUGCGGCCAUGCUGGGCUAGGACAAGAGGCAGAGGCAGAGAGACAGAGAGGAGCCACCCUAAGAAGAGAGACCAGAUACCCUUUUCUCAUCCUUUGAGUUCAACAGAUGUCUCUUCUGGUUGCAAGUGACAGAAGCCCACACAGAAAAGGCUCAGACCAAAGAGAAAUUUAUGGGCUCCUGAAACCGUAUGUCAGAGAGAGAUUGGGCCAGGGCUGGGAUGUGACCCCGGCUCUUUCUUGGUUUCUCCUCGCCGCUUCUCUCUCUCCUGCAGCCUCACAGUCUCAGACAGGAUUCUUUCAAGAAUUGCAAACUUGGCUGAAGACCUUCCUGUCCCCUUUCUUACCUCCCAUGUACAGGAUGGGGGUGAUGAUCCCACUUCUCUGACUCUCACCCAGAAGUUAGGAACUCCUUAAGGCUCCUCUGUCUCCAGCCUGGAGGGAGGGCGCAGAGGGAGCUGGUGAGCCUGGCUGCCUGCCUUCUGCAGCUGACCUCCAGAAGUGACCAGGGCAGCAUCCAGGUUGGUAGGGGGAUGGUAUCCAAAGGGUCUAGAGACUCAGGGAAUCUGUCACACUCAUGCCCCCAACUCAAUUCAGUUGAUCAUGGUGCCCUCAACACCUGAGACUUUUCGAUUCUCUGCACAAUGAACUUAAUUUAGUUUUGGUUGCCCCUGGUGCCGGGUUAACCUGUCUUUGGUUGGCUGAGUCAGUAACUACUUAAUCCAUUUUGCAACUCUCAAACUCCA
rnacentral:lncRNA from 1 species